GGUGUCGUGGCCGAGUGGCUAGGCAGUGGUCUGCAAAACCACGUACAGCGGUUCGAAUCCGCUCGACACCUCAA
rnacentral:tRNA from 1 species